AUAAUAUAAUAUAAUAAUAUUUGCCAUGACAAGUCUUCCGGCAUAUGUAUUUUGUACUACCAUUCGUCCGCCUAAUUAAUCGUCGAAACCGACCAACAGUUGGUGUUUGGAUGAGCCGUGAUUAGGGCGUUCCAUGUUUACUCCCUCCCGUGCGCACGCGGCUUCCAUCGCGUUUCUCACCCGGAGAACGACGGUUCCUAAGUUUUAGGUUUCGAAGUCAAAGUGCCGGCCUCUACGUCGAGAUUGGGAAAAAGGCGCGGGGUUUUCUAUUUGAAUAUUAUUUUGAAUCAAACUAUUUGGCAUUGUUGUUUUUGCUUCCAUUUUUGGUCGUUUAUAAGCUUGUCUGUAUAUGGAUUGUCUGAAUGAACGAGAAGUUCACAGCCACCGCAGCUUGUCUCUGGCACUGAAGUUGUAAUAUUGUGUUAUUUCGUACUCGUAAUCGGGGUUUCGUUAUGGCCGAUACGAUUUUUGUGAUCUAAGUAUAAAACCUGUAAACCCCCCUUUUGAUCUUGGUAUCAAAUGGGCGAGCAUUGAAUGAUCUCGUCGUUGUUUGCACAAAGAGGGGUUUCUGAAAUUCGGUUCCAAUCUUGGAAAAUUUUGGGGAUCAAUUUGAGGCGUUGCAUAAAGAGGAGGCCAUCACAAUAUUUUUUAUUCAAUCUAGAUUCUGUGUUAAUGGCUUUCAAAUUCAAAUGCCUAGCUGGGUUUCUCUGCUUAAGAUUCCCUUGCUAUAAGUGCUGAUUGGGGCUGUUGUGAAUUGAAUUCUCAUCUGUUUUGUUUGUUAUUGUUUUCACUUGUUAUGGAGGAUUUUUUGGGUGCCCUCGUAAUUUCAUUUUGUAAACUGGUCUGAUUUGCCUUUUGUAACUCUAUAUUUGUCCAAUCUGGGUUAUCAUUGUAUUAUCAAUUUAUUUACUUAAUAAAGAAGUUAUUGCAACGUUUUUAUUUGGCUGUGAUGUUUGAAGAUUUCCUUUGCAAUUUUUUUAAUACUGUUGUAGUUAGAUUUCUUUUUCUCUUUCUUCUUCUUCUUAUUAUUUUGAUAAAUUCAACUUAUUUAUGAAGCCAGUUUCAGCUCUAUACCAUCAUCACUGUUAAUGAGGCUGCUCCUUAAAGCAAUUAGUUGCUUCUUUUGCAAUUCAUGUAGUUAUGUGAAACAAUUGAUUACUGCAAAAACUGACAGCAGUGCCUGAGGUUUCGUGCAGUAGGCAGAUGUGGAUAGCCACUUCCACCGUUCUGACCCAUACCAGGGGAAGGUUGUUGCAAUGCCUCCAAGGGGGAGCUCUUUCUGUACUUUUAUGGAGAACUAUUGGUCCAUGAAAUUGUUGAGUGAGAAGGAGAGAAGAGGACUAGUGGGUGGAUGAGAAGUAGGUGGGCAAACUGCAGCUUGAUAAGUGUGUGGAGGGUUAUGUAUGGUGUAUCAUCCGGAAGAUGACCAAUAGAUGGUGGAGGAAUGACAGGGUUAUUAGCUGAGUAUUUGGGGUGUGGAUGAGGGGUGAGAGAUUGAGUGUAGUGUGAUUGAGCAGAUUUCUGGGACUGGUGCUGUGACUCUGGGCAUGUUGGGGAUGAAGAAGUGGGGCAGGCUGGUGCUGUGGUGGGGGGGGCCAUCGGCUGGUGCAGCUACAGAGGUGAUAUUUCCUAUUGCUGACUUCGGUUUGGAUCAAACAAGAUAAAUAUCAUGGUAUCAACCUACUGCCUGAAGGGCUUAUGGAAAACAACCUGAAGUGUACACGCUCUUGAGUGUAAUGAUAUUUGUUUUCUUAAUUUUUUAAAGUUCCUCAUUUAGAUGAUUGCAUACCCUUUAGCCUCCCCUGUCCAUUUUUUGAAUAGUAAAAACUUGAUGGAAAAGAAAAACCCAGCCUUAUAUUUUGUAAGAGAUUGUGCUUUUUUAUUAUGUCAGAUUGAGACAGAGAAGCUCAUAGCCUAUCUUGUUAAAGCAGAAUGAACCAGCUAUUGGUAAAUGUCAUUGCAUGAACAUCUACAAUACCUUGGCUUUGCAAACUCAACCAAAUUAUGAUGCUUAGCGUUACUAUUAUUAUGGGAGAUUUUGUCCGCAUAGAGAGGCUUGUUUGUCUGUGUUGUAUCAGGAAUUAUUUUUAUUUUUUUUCGCCUUUCUUUACUAUUGAUGCUUCUCAUUGUGUAUCUUUGCAGAAAGUGGUCACCAACCAAAGAAAAAUAAAAAUUCGAUGGCAUAUGUCAUUUCUUUGGCUGUCACGUUAUGAUCAUAUAUGGCUUGAUGGUAACAUGUUUGGGAGGUGUAUUUCUAAUUAUAUGGCUUGAUUAUGACUUGGUUUUGUCAUUAUCAUGUCUUCACAUUAUUGAUAAUGUAGUGAGACACAUUGUGUUGACUAGAUUCAUGAACUGUUGAUGCUUUGCUUUUUCUUGAUGAGGCUGCUGGGUAACAAAUUUGCCUAUUGGCCGUUUACAAAGCACAUUGCCUAUCUGAAUGGGAUUGUACUUUCAGGUGACCUUAUUAUUAGGGGAAUCAAUAAUAAUUGAUGUGCUUGAUUUUAGUUUUAUUUGUUUUAACUGAGGAAACCUGUUUAAGGUAUGUGAGGCAAUCUAAGUUUUUUUAUCAUUUGUCACUUAAAACUCAGAGAUUUAGCUUUUGCUUAAUGAGUGAAACUUUAAAUAGGAUUUUGUACUUGUCAUUGUCUUUGCCAUAGUUCUAAGUUCUCCCUGCUUCACAGGAUGGAAUACAAACAUUUGGAUAGGUUGUGUGAUGUUCUUUUGGAUGCUCCUUUUGUUGCAUUAACAGAAAGGUAAGCUUCAUUGCAUUUUUCUGUUGCUCUUCCUAUGAUUAUCCGUUCUAGUAGCCGAUGACAUUCUCCUUGUUGGGAAAAAGGUACAAUAUGCUAUUAUGUACAUUGUUUUAGUUUUCUCUUGAUAGAUGGCUCGAUUUUCUUUCGUUACUUCCAGCCACAUCGGCUUUCUCCCAAAGUUUGCAAUCGUCUUAAGGUGUAUUUCAUUGCAAUAUAAAGUCUGAUAACAUGUUAGUGAAUAGGUUGAAUUCUGUCUUUCUGUUGUUGUAAUUUUUCAUAG